UACGGAGGGAGCUAGCGUUAUUCGGAAUUACUGGGCGUAAAGCGCACGUAGGCGGCUUUGUAAGUUAGAGGUGAAAGCCUGGAGCUCAACUCCAGAACUGCCUUUAAGACUGCAUCGCUAGAAUUGUGGAGAGGUAAGUGGAAUUCCGAGUGUAGAGGUGAAAUUCGUAGAUAUUCGGAAGAACACCAGUGGCGAAGGCGGCUCACUGGCCCGUUACCGACGCUCAGGCGCGACAGCGUGGGGAGCAAACAGG
rnacentral:rRNA from 1 species